rnacentral:rRNA from 1 species
UACGGAGGGGGCUAGCGUUGUUCGGAAUUACUGGGCGUAAAGCGCACGUAGGCUGCUUUGUAAGUUAGAGGUGAAAGCCCGGGGCUCAACUCCGGAAUUGCCUUUAAGACUGCAUCGCUAGAAUUGUGGAGAGGUAAGUGGAAUUCCGAGUGUAGAGGUGAAAUUCGUAGAUAUUCGGAAGAACACCAGUGGCGAAGGCGACUCACUGGACACAUAUUGACGCUGAGGUGCGAAAGCGUGGGGAGCAAACAGG